CGGCUGGAGUCCUCUGCUACUUGAAUUGUUUUUGCCCCCUUAUGCAGCAGUAAAGCUGCUGAUUCCAGACACCGGGAUUUGGGUUCCCGGAAGUGGCAGGUGCUUUGCUAGCUGGACGCCAGACAGGCCUUGAGAAAGGCUGCGUCAGCAGCAGAGAGCAAACCCAGGACCCGGCCACUACCCGUAAGUUACAGGCAUAACUAGCAACCGGCUGCUUGCAAUCACUGGGGCAGCCACUAGGAGGAGACAUGACCCCACACACGGCAGUGCAUCACUCACGCUGCUGCACUGCUCUGUCCGCAAAGCAAUAAUAUCCCUGGGUAUUUAUCCCAGCCAGGCCUGGGCUCCUCCACCCCACAUCCGCCGAGGCCCCUCAGUCCUCAUCUGUAGCCCCUCUGCGGUUCCGGGCCAGGGUUUACACACACACAGAACUGCUGACACCCCAUAAUCCUGACCCACUGCCCACCUGCUAGUCAGGUCUCGCAUCCCAUCCUCAAGGGGGGGUGAAUUUCUAACGGGAGAUAGUUUUCCAGACAAGACGCUGGAUCCGACACACUCACACACUCCCUGGAAAAGGGAAGAGCCAGAUUUCAUGGCUUGGGUACAGCUCUAGUUAUAACGUGUCCUCCUCUGGUGACGGUCCCCGGCAGAGCUCUGCCAACGUACCUAGAGGCUGUCCUGCAGCAUUCCCUGCUUCUCCAGUGCUGGGCCCUGCACCACAGUUCUGCUGGUGCCCCUCAAUCCUGACCCGCAGGCAGCCCCCGCUUGUAUGCCAGCUCUGAGGAUACUCCCCAAUCCUGACCCACAGCCCCCUGCUGUGCCAGCCCUGGGCCUCUCCGGUGCAGAGACCACCCAGGGGGCCAGAUUCAUCUGUUGUUCUGUGACACCGGGAGAGAGGAAACCUUGUCUUGCUGCCCCUGCCCCGCUUCAUGCCAGUCCCCACCAGAUGGCUUCCCUGCUGCUAAUCAGCGCCAGAAUCAAAGGCGCCAUGGGGCCGGCAGCGGCCGGUCGCUCUCCUUAGAAGAGCUGCUGAGAAAUGACCCAUGUGAGCAUCACAGCUGAGCGCGGAGGCAGCCUGAAGGGGUCAGAGAAAGCAUGCGGGGAAAUAGCAACGGUGCCCAAUUGUCAGCGGCAGAACGAACGCGCUGGGGAGACUGCUGGAGGCGUGGAAAUUACCCGAAACAAAGAGCUGAGCCUGCCAGCGUUAGCGGCUUGAGGAGAUUUCUCUCCUGUGGACUGGAGCUCUCCUCCUCGCCAGGGAUUAUUUCCUUGAAAGACAAGAAGCGACACAGAAUCAGCUCCAUGUGCGGCAAGGCCGGGACGGCUCACUGCUCUCGUGAGAUCUCAGCACGCCCCCGGAGCCCCUGAGAACAAUGAGUCGGGCUCACCAGACCCAGGAUUGGCAGAGGGGAGUUUUGAAAAUGCAGGGAACAGCCUGGCAAGCCACAGCAAGUGCUGGGAUCUCAGGAUCAGUAAUACCGGUCGCUCCGCUGAGUGCCUUUCCUCCAGGGAACGCAGCGGGGGAGUCAGCCCGGGGCUGACAUGAGGCGUUAGUGGCACGGAGGCCCUGUGCCGGCCCACUGGCCGGGGCUGAAUUUCACUGCAGGCGCUCUACUCAUUGAUCGGCGAAGCUUCACCAUGCACUCUCGGCGUCAAGGAAAUGAGAUCGUCACUUCAGUGUUACAGAUGGGGAAACUGAGGCAUGAACUAUCAGGAAGAUCAGUUCUCACCUCCUCUGGUUUUUGCUGGAGAACUCCUUGGAUGACUCACAGAUAUUGAUGGAAGCUGUGGUGACCCUUCUUUGAAAGGACAAGAGAGACGGAUCCUGAAAUAGGCGCUUCUCUCCCCAAUGCAUUGACUCCCACUUCCAACUGGCCAACGAUCCCAGCCUUCAUCGCCCGUUUGCUACAUGCCUUCCCGUGAACAUCCACAAAGUCGCAGCAUCGUCCUCAAAACUCUCCUUUGUGGCGAUGCUUACAAAAAACCCAACACCAGUCAGAGAGCGGGGGGGUUUAAACCACUGCCAAUCAGACUGACCGGUAUUGUCUCAUUGUUUCCUCCGGCUCUCCCGUCUGCCUCCACCUGGUCUCUCUCAUCUUCUGCUUCUGCUGCAAACUGUUUGGAGCGGGAGGCCAUCUUUUUUGUAGAGGUGUCUGUACAGUGCCUUGUACAAUGGGGUAAAAACAGUACAAACAGUCAAAAAAAAAGUCACUAAAUUAACAGCAACAAUCAUGCACAUAGCAGUAUGCUGGGAUUCACGGCCUACCUGUGGUAAGUAUUGCUAUGCAUAGAGAGGACCCCAAACCACCAAGUCUGUAGGUCGAUCUAGCUAUGAAGGGUAUUUGGAGCUGGGCUUUUGGUUUGUACAGCCCCGAUCACAGUGGCUCAUACAAACAAUAAACAGGAAUGACAGGUGGAAUCUGUACCUGGUCCGCACUUCAGAAAAAUGUUGGGCCCCCUGCCACAUGGCGCAGGGUAAGAACUAUUCAUGGCCUCCAUCGCGCAGGCCGUUCCUUUGAGACAGGACUUUGGGCAUUGCUACUAACCGGGCUAGCAUCUUCUGCGCACCAGAUCCCUCUCCUCUUCUCCCAGAAUGGGAGUCAGCGAGCAGACACACCUUCAUGGAGCGAUUGCCUUCAAAUGUAUCAAAAAAGAUAAUCAAGGAUUCCUCUCUCCACCCCCGUUUCCUCGUUACAAACAGCGCCGGGAGCUGUGCUGAUUGCAAUUCAUCAGCAGGAAACGGGAGUCAUUAAAGCGGUCUGGCCUAGGCCCUGUAAUUAAUUAGUUGCAAGAGCACCUUGGCAUUCGGGGAGAGGCCUCAGUGGGGAGAGCGACAGCUUCGUUCCUAAAUGCUCCUCAGCCCAGCGCAGAGUCACCGUCCCUGGGAGCUGCUGCCGAGGUGUCCCCAUAAAUGGAAAUGAAAAGUUGCUGUAACCAGGGGAAAAGGAGGGAGAUCGGAUAGGCGCUGCCAUUGGCCGCUGCUACGCGGGUCUGGGGUGAGCUUUCCAAGCCAUUACGUGUUAUUGCAGAGAUCAGAUGCUGGAAAUAUAUAGGAACGUCUCCUGCAGGGACAGUUGCUUCUAGACCAGGAACCUUUGAACUGGAAGACUCCGAUAUUUGCUGGGAUUUAGAAUAAGGCGUCUUGUCCUGGUGUGCUGUCCAGAGUACUCAUCAACCAGGUGCUCACGGGUGAAACCAGCCAAGCAAACACAAAGACAUCCCCAAAGGCACUGGAGGGCAGAGUCUCCGGGGCUUUGGACAUGUACAGGAUGCCGCGCUGUGACUUGCAAACAUCUGCAUCUGUACGAGAGCUGCCUGGAGAAUGGGGCUAGACUCAGAGCUGCAUACUCAUGGCAUGCAAAUCUAGAACUCCUUGCAAACUCCCAAGGCUGCCAACCGCACCGCAGCUCAGAGACGGGCUAGCAUCCCAGAGGGGUGGCAGCAGCAGCAGGCCUUUCCAUGCUGAUGUUGUUAAAAAGCAGAGCGAUGCAAGAAUCAUGGAAAAAAGGAGCCUAAGCUGGAAGAUACAGGCGAUGACUGGCCUGGGGGAGAAGGGCAGGCAGUUAGGUCUAGUGGAUAGGGCACUGGAGUGGGAGUCAGGAGACCAGGGUUCAAAUCUUGGCUUGCCCAUUGGCCGGCUGGCUGACCUUGGGCAUGUCACUUUUCCUGCACACAGCCAAUCCCAAGUGUUCAAAAGCCCCCAGUCAGGCCCCCAGGAAACUGGCUGAUGCAUCAUGAGAUAUAUAAACAUAAAUAAAUGUUGGCAUCUUUUUAUUUGCCUUGUGGGGUUUGAGUCUUUAGGCGUCACCAUUUUAAGCUUCUCUCUGGAACCAGGAGGGCUAGACCACGUCUUGGGAAAGCCGAGACCCUCACAGGCUCACAGGGCUCCAGGAGCUUGAGUUGGCAACGCUGCCCACCCUUUGCCCGUCUUGCCUACCUAGAGCAGCAGCAUUUUGGGACAUGGAUGGCCACUUGCUAUAUUUGUACAGCACAACGGUGCCUUGAUCUGGGUUGGCCUCCCGGUGUCAGACAGAGGAAAAAUGUCAAAUAACAGGACAUACGCCCAACAGCUGCUCCUUGCUCAUGAUAGGGAGCUUGCUGAAUCUGACCUGCCUUGAGCAGGGGGUGGGACUAGAUACCUCCUGAGGUCUCUUCCGACCCUGAUAGUCUAUGAUUCUACGACUUAGUCAAGGCUCUGUGGGACCAUAAGAACAGGCUUUCUGGGGGGAUUGCCUCCUGCUUUGGCUAUGCUAGAAUAAUCUUGCUAGUGGUGUUUCAGGUAGCGCAGAAACACGAAACGUGAAAAAAACUGAUACCAAAGCAAAAAAACGGUGUUCACCACGUUGUCUUUGGACCUUCAGGCAAAGUUCUCUCCAUGCUCUGGCGAAGGGCCAGGGGAGUAUUGGUUUAUUGGAACCAGUGUGCCCAUCCCUAGAUAUCCAACCACCUGAAUCCCUGCCCCUGAUCCUUCCACCCUGCCCAGAGCUGUGUAGCUCAGAAGUUCCUUGGCGAAACAGCUGUCAGCAGCCCCAUUGACUUGGAGGAAGCAGGUCCCCAGCUGCCGAGCCGGAGGCAGAUUUCUUUAUAGCAGUGGUCAGUGAAGAUGUUCUCUGAAUAAAUGAACAAACCGAGGUCCUUAAAUGAACAGUACAUCCUUCCUCAGGUCAAUUUUGCAGAGGAAGAAGGUAUUUCAAGAGUACACGGUUACUGCCUACAGCUUUCCCAAGUCAGCCAGGGGACAUUUUUGUGGCAGCUGUAAAUCGGACCGUGUUUCUGUUUCAGGUCCAUGAGGACGUUAUUUCAGUCUGAUAUAGUGCAUCACAAAUGGGAUUGAAAGCGCCCAUCUCUGGACAGAUACAAAGCCUCCUAAUGCAUUCAAACCCCAGAGAAGCAGGCUCUUAUAUCUACCCACAGCUGGUAGCUGGCUAUCCUUCACUCUUCUAUACACAGAUGGCACUGGCAGGAGUUAGUGCGUGAAUGGUUAAAAAUAAUUCAUAAAGUCCUUUGCUGGAGCAUGUUGAUUUUAGCGUGCGGCACAGAUGUCAUGACGAUAACAGGGGAUUUUCUCUAGUCCUGCCUGGCUUUGUCAUUAGAAUCUCCCUUUCCUUUGCCUUGGCUGAAAACCACAGCUAAAGGGGAAAUCAACACCGGCUAGGAAAUUAAGAAUCUCCACAAUAGAGCAACAGCGAGUCUGACGAAGUGGGUAGUCACCCACGAAAGCUCUUGCUCCAAUACAUCUGUUAGU